rnacentral:rRNA from 1 species
ACUCAAAGGAAUAGACGGGUCCCCGCACAAGCAGCGGAGCGUGUGGUUUAAUUCGUUGCUACACGAAGAACCUUACCUGGGUUUGACAUAGCAGUGGUAGGGAAGAGAAAUCGGACCGACCCUUCGGGGAGCUGUUACAGGUGUUGCAUGGCUGUCGUCAGCUCGUGUCGUGAGAUGUUCGGUUAAGUCCGCUAACGAGCGCAACCCGCGUGAUGUGUUACAAGUGUCACAUCAUACUGCCGGUAUUAAGUCGGAGGAAGGUGCGGAUGACGUCAAGUCAGCAUGACCUUUAUAUCCAGGGCUACACACACGCUACAAUGGUAGGUACAACAGGUUGCCAAGCCGCGAGGCGGAGCCAAUCCUCCAAAGCCUACCUCAGUUCAGAUUGCAGGCUGCAACUCGCCUGCAUGAAGUUGGAGUUGCUAGUAACCGUAGGUCAGCUAUACUGCGGUGAAUACGUUCCCGGGGAUUGCACACACCGCCCGU